rnacentral:rRNA from 1 species
GAUGAACGCUGGCGGCGUGCUUAACACAUGCAAGUCGAACGAUGAAGCCCAGCUUGCUGGGUGGAUUAGUGGCGAACGGGUGAGUAACACGUGAGUAACCUGCCCUUGACUCUGGGAUAAGCCUGGGAAACUGGGUCUAAUACUGGAUAUGACUUCUCAUCGCAUGGUGGGGGGUGGAAAGAUUUAUUGGUCUUGGAUGGACUCGCGGCCUAUCAGCUUGUUGGUGAGGUAAUGGCUCACCAAGGCGACGACGGGUAGCCGGCCUGAGAGGGUGACCGGCCACACGGGGACUGAGACACGGCCCAGACUCCUACGGGAGGCAGCAGUGGGGAAUAUUGCACAAUGGGCGCAAGCCUGAUGCAGCGACGCCGCGUGAGGGAUGACGGCCUUCGGGUUGUAAACCUCUUUCAGUAGGGAAGAAGCGAGAGUGACGGUACCUGCAGAAGAAGCGCCGGCUAACUACGUG